rnacentral:SRP_RNA from 1 species
GCCGGGCAUGGUGGUGCAUGCCUGUAAUCCCAGCUACUCGGGAGGCUGAGGCAGGAGAAUGGCUUGAACCCAGGAGGCGGAGGUUGCAGUGAGCCAAGAUCGCGCCACUACACUCCAACCUGGGUGACAGAGUGAGAUCCUGUCUCAA